GAUGAAGAACGCAGCGAAAUGCGAUAAGUAAUGUGAAUUGCAGAAUUCAGUGAAUCAUCGAAUCUUUGAACGCACAUUGCGCCCGCCAGUAUUCUGGCGGGCAUGCCUGUUCGAGCGUCAUUUCAACCAUCAAGCCCCCGGCUUGUGUUGGGGACCUGCGGCUGCCGCAGGCCCUGAAAACCAGUGGCGGGCUCGCUAGUCACUCCGAGCGUAGUAAUACAUCUCGCUCAGGGCGUGCUGCGGGUUCCGGCCGUUAAAAAAGCCUUAUUUACCCAAGGUUGACCUCGGAUCAGGUAGGAAGACCCGCUGAACUUAAGCAUCUCAAUAAGCGGAGGA
rnacentral:misc_RNA from 1 species